CAAAAAUCCAAUUAGACGACGCAUUACAGUUUUUCGCCGUCUGAUUGAUUUUUAUUUUUUUAGACGUCGUUUUUAUAAAAUUUGUCGUCUGAUAUGCAAUUAUGAAUUAGUUCAGAAGACGUUUAAUGAUAGAACCGUUGUAUGACCCUAAAAAAUUUGAGCGGCAAGUUUCCCACCAUGUUGUAAGUGGUGCCAAAUGGCAUCUCAAAUCCCGAAUUUUCCCCAAACCAUGUAUACCAUGUAUUGAUCAUACGAUGAAAAAUAAUAAAACUGUCGUCUAAUCAAUGUGUUUGACAGAAAGGAGGGACCCACCACCAUUUUUCUUCAAUUUCCCCAAGAGGGAAGUCAAAUUGAUAGGAGACAAACCCCAAAUUUCAAGUGGCCGCAUACAUACCACAUUUUUAUAAAAUUAUGUUGUGUGAGUCGUUGUCCAAAUUGACAGGGCUUGUCCGAUAGGGCUUGUCCAAAUUAAUGAAGGUCGGGCAUGAAACACUUUCAGAAAAGAAAAUAACGAAGAACUCAAACCUCCUCACUCUCUCUAGGUCUAUGUCGAAAACCAAAACCCGAAACUCCUCACUCUCCCGACAGCGUCUCCCCAAAACCAAAACCUACACUUGGAAGUCCAUCGGAUUCAAUACCUUUGUUCUACACCGACACCAAAUUCAUCGGAUCCAAAACCUAGACCUCGCUCUCUCUCUCCCUCUUAUCUUCUACACCUAUACCUCAAAUCCAUCUCUCCAACAACCAAAUCAGUUUCCACAUCAAACUAAUCUGAGAGGAGCCUCUCCGGCCUCAAAGAUGUCGUCGUCACCGGCGGCCGAACUCCCUUGGCUCAAAUUCUAAUUUCCCUCUUUACUGGAAGUUUGCUAUGAAAACCACAAGAUAAAGUGACGCCCUUUAAUGAUAUUCUGUGGAGGACUUGGAUUACUGAUUUAAAUAGCUAAAAUGGGUCUGGUUUUGUUUUAAUUGUUUUAAUUGCCUCCGAAAUCGAUGACUAGAUAUGGAUGUAAGUACUUUGAUCAAUUGCAUUCUAUCUGCUUUUCACUUGCUUUGUUAUUUGAUUGUGCAAAAGUUAAAUUGGUUAUGAAAUAUUUGAAGACGCAAUUUGAGUAUUCUAGUUGAGAAUUGUUUUGAACUAAUUCAAUUUGCUAUCUGCAGGCUCUUCAUACAUAUUUGGACAAGCUUUUCAAUUAGUAUGUUGUUAUAAUCCUCUCCGUGACUUUUAUCCUGUUUUUCAGAGAGGUUAUUCCACAAGCAAUAUGCACUAGAUAUGGACUUGCUGUGGGUUUCAACCAAUAUGUUAUCACUUGGGUGAGACAGUUUGAAUUUAUUUCUUUAUAACUGUCUCUACCUUAAUGUUCAUUUUGGUGAAAUCAUUCUUCAGAUACAUUUUGAACAACAUGCAGAAAUGUGAAAUUAUGCUCAAUGAUUUGAUUGGUUCUAAGAGGACCAACACCAAUAUUAAAGCAACCAUAGCUCAGCCAUCUCAUACAGGUAGCUUUGAAAUUUGAAGAUAUGUUGGAAUUGCAAUUUGAAGAUAGAGAAAUGCAGUUCAGGGUUGCUCUUCUUCAUGCAGCAAUUAUAAUGCAAUUUCAAGAUCAGAAAAGUGGAUUGCAAGGCAACUCUUUGACUGGAGCACUGUCCCCUGAUAUGUGUCAAUUAACUGGUCUGUGGUACUUGCAAGUAUUUUCCUUCUGUAUUUCAACCAUUUUUGGUUUCUUUGUGUUCUUUUUGUGUUUCUGUUGGUAUUGAAGUUUCCUUUUAUGCUCAGUGAUGUUAGAGGCAAUAACCUGACUAGCCCUGCGUCUUGUAUCAGAUUACCAAAAUCAAUCUUUACAAGGUUUGUUUAUUGCUGGGUUUUGAGAAAUGAUAGGGAUUUGAGAUUGGUUUGAAUCUUCUGGUUUUGAAUUUGAUUGCUUGUGUGUACUGUGGGAGUGGAUUUUGUUUUGCGUUUUCUUGAUUGUUUAAGGGUUUAGGGUUUAUGCUGGUUUUUCAAUUUUGACAGGAUGGUAGGCAUGGAAAGGCUUGGGGAGUCGUUCAUAAGGAAGGUUAGGCUUCGCUAUGAAGUUAAUAUAGUAGAAUUUGUUGUAGGCUUGCCAGCUGCAGAUGCUCCCAAGAAAAUAAGUAGAGUCCACAAGCGUGGUUGGAGCAACACCUGAAGUUCAACCAGCUUGAUGCAUUUCCUCCUUUUUAGGGAUCGUGUUGCCUGCUAAGUAUGAAUCUUUCCUGUGAAUAAGUUUACUUGUGGGCUGCCAUGUAAUGGUCUGAAAACUCUUUUUUAAAUCAUAAAAAAUAUCGUAGUUGAUUAAAUAAGUAAUUAUUUCUCAGAUUCACUGAGUUUUGUUUUAGGUUGUACUUGACUCAAACCAGGAUUCAGGUUAAGUUGAAGAUUGUGAGGGACAGAAGAAAAGGGUAAAGUUUGUAUGCCGACCAAUUCAUCGCAAAGGGUUGGUUUGUCCGUUUGUGUGUGAGUAUGCAGGUAUUGAUCACGUACAACCCACAUUUUCGAUCCUUUUUUCUAGUUUAGCACUUGUAAUUUGCAAUUGCCCCAGACUUAAUUGCAAUGUUUCUGUUUUGGCAUGUGUACCCCUCAGUGAACUAUUGAUCCAUGCAACUACAGAAAGAGAGCAAAAAGCUCCUACAGAAGCUACUAAAGCUAGACUCCAAUGAGGCCAUGAGAGCAGCAAAGCUUGCAAAGCUAGACUCUAGUAAAUUUCUGGAUGUAUAUUGCUAGGAGAGUAGUAUUAGAUGUACUCCUUUUGUAGAUGAAAGAUUACCUUUGCACAAUCUAUUUUGGUGCAUGAUAUAGAUUAUAACAAUUUCUUCUA